rnacentral:rRNA from 1 species
GAUGAACGCUGGCGGCGUGCCUAAUACAUGCAAGUCGAGCGAACAGACGAGGAGCUUGUGCCUCUGACGUUAGCGGCGGACGGGUGAGUAACACGUGGAUAACCUUCCUCUAAUACUGGGAUAACAUCGUGAAACAGGUGCUACUACCGGAUAAUAUAUUCAACCGCAUGAAGCAAUAGUUAAAGGCACUUUUGCCGAUUCAUUUAGCUGGUGCCGCGUCGCAUUAGUUAGUUGGUAAGGUAACGGCUUACCAAGGCUACGAAGCGUAGCUGACAUGAGAGGGUGAUCAGCCACACUGGAACUGAGACACGGUCCAGACUCCUACGGGAGGCAGCAGUGGGGAAUCUUGGGCAAUGGGCGAAAGCCUGACGGAGCAACACCGCGUGAGUGAAGAAGGUCUUCGGGUCGUAAAGCUCUUUUGUUGGGAAAGAACAAAUGUAUAAUAAAAUCUGCACGUCUUGACGGUACCUAAACAGAAAGCAACGGCUAACUACGUG